ensembl:lncRNA
CUUCAGGCUUGGGCAUCUGUACCCCUAGAGAUACAGAAAGCCUUUUCUAAGGGCAGGCGGCAGGGUUGUGUUGAAGGGGAUCCGUCUCUGGAAAACACCGUGAAGAAGUACUGUUCCACACCUGAGAAGGCCUCUCCUCGCUUCCUUUCCACGAUGCUUGACUCCCACUUCACAGAAGGAAGAUGGUGGAGUCUGGAUGCCUGAGUGAGGAUGGCACGAAUCAGAACCUCCAACUGGCCUGCGAUGGACAUGUAUCGAUAAUUCAGCCUGGACUAUACAAAGGACUUAUCUCCCGCCCAUCCUAAAUCUUAUUUUGUGCCCCAGUCUCUAUUUCCACCUUGAAAAAGUGGCACGUGAAUUGUCUUUGUUCUUAAUAAAGAAGCUGAUGUGAAUUCUUCUACACUCCUGCAUUCACAAGCUGGGCAGCCCUCUUCUGCACUAAUUAUGCUGUCUGCAUUUGCUUCCUAAUUGUUGUAUACGUAUAAACCACAUCUCCAACAAGAUUGUAAGCUUUUGUGCUUCACAAAAGGUUCAAGGAAUUCUACCAUGAUAAAAGAAAAUUCACUGACUGCUUAUGACCCAAGCUCUUAGC